rnacentral:rRNA from 1 species
AGCGUACAAGGUGGAUGCCUUGGCAAUCAGAGGCGAGGAAGGACGUGCUAAUCUGCGAAAAGCUUGGAUGAGUCGAUAAGAGGCGUUUAAUCCAAGAUGUCCGAAUGGGGAAACCCAGUAGAUGAAGAAUCUACUAUCACUUACUGAAUCCAUAGGUAAGUGAGGCAAACCGGGAGAACUGAAACAUCUAAGUACCCCGAGGAAAAGAAAUCAACCGAGAUUUCGUUAGUAGCGGCGAGCGAACGCGAAGGAGCCUGUUAGUGAUAAUGACAGAGACAGAGGAACAAGCUGGGAAGCUUGGCGAUACAGGGUGAUAGCCCCGUACUCGAAGUCCAGGUCAUGGUACUAAGCUAACGACAAGUAGGGCGGGACACGUGAUAUCCUGUUUGAAGAUGGGGGGACCAUCCUCCAAGGCUAAAUACUCCUGAUUGACCGAUAGUGAACCAGUACUGUGAAGGAAAGGCGAAAAGAACCCCGGUGAGGGGAGUGAAAUAGAACCUGAAACCUUGUACGUACAAGCAGUGGGAGCCCUUUAAGGGUGACUGCGUACCUUUUGUAUAAUGGGUCAGCGACUUAUAUUUUGUAGCGAGGUUAACCGAAUAGGGGAGCCGAAGGGAAACCGAGUCUUAACUGGGCGUCUAGUUGCAAGGUAUAGACCCGAAACCCGGUGAUCUAGCCAUGGGCAGGUUGAAGGUUGGGUAACACUAACUGGAGGACCGAACCGACUAAUGUUGAAAAAUUAGCGGAUGACUUGUGGCUGGGGGUGAAAGGCCAAUCAAACCGGGAGAUAGCUGGUUCUCCCCGAAAUCUAUUUAGGUAGAGCCUUGAGCGGACACCUUCGGGGGUAGAGCACUGUUUCGGCUAGGGGUCCAUCCCGGAUUACCAACCCGAUGCAAACUACGAAUACCGAAGAGUGAUACUCAGGAGACACACGGCGGGUGCUAACGUCCGUCGUGGAGAGGGAAACAACCCAGACCGCCAGCUAAGGUCCCAAAGUCUAUAUUAAGUGGGAAACGAAGUGGGAAGGCUUAGACAGCUAGGAUGUUGGCUUAGAAGCAGCCAUCAUUUAAAGAAAGCGUAAUAGCUCACUAGUCGAGUCGGCCUGCGCGGAAGAUGUAACGGGGCUCAAAUAUAGCACCGAAGCUGCGGCAUCAGACGAAAGUCUGUUGGGUAGGGGAGCGUUCUGUAAGCGGAUGAAGGUAGCUCGAGAGGGCUGCUGGACGUAUCAGAAGUGCGAAUGCUGACAUAAGUAACGAUAAAACGGGUGAAAAACCCGUUCGCCGGAAGACCAAGGGUUCCUGUCCAACGUUAAUCGGGGCAGGGUGAGUCGGCCCCUAAGGCGAGGCUGAAAAGCGUAGUCGAUGGGAAACGGGUUAAUAUUCCCGUACUUGGAUAAACUGCGAUGUGGGGACGGAGCAGGUUAGGUUAUCGCACUGUUGGAUAUGUGCGUUUAAGUUGGUAGGUGUGAAGUUUAGGCAAAUCCGGACUUCUAUAACACCGAGAGAUGAUGACGAGGCUCUACGGAGCUGAAGUAACCGAUACCACACUUCCAGGAAAAGCCACUAAGCUUCAGGUUUAUCUAAACCGUACUGAAAACCGACACAGGUGGUCAGGUAGAGAAUACUCAGGCGCUUGAGAGAACUCGGGUGAAGGAACUAGGCAAAAUAGCACCGUAACUUCGGGAGAAGGUGCGCCGGCGUAGAUUGUAGUCCCUCGCGGGCGAAGGUUGAACCGGUCGAAGAUACCAGCUGGCUGCAACUGUUUAUUAAAAACACAGCACUCUGCAAACACGAAAGUGGACGUAUAGGGUGUGAUGCCUGCCCGGUGCUGGAAGGUUAAUUGAUGGUGUAAUCGAAAGAGAAGCUCCUGAUCGAAGCCCCAGUAAACGGCGGCCGUAACUAUAACGGUCCUAAGGUAGCGAAAUUCCUUGUCGGGUAAGUUCCGACCUGCACGAAUGGCAUAAUGAUGGCCAGGCUGUCUCCACCCGAGACUCAGUGAAAUUGAAAUCGCCGUGAAGAUGCGGUGUACCCGCGGCUAGACGGAAAGACCCCGUGAACCUUUACUAUAGCUUGACACUGAACAUUGAAUUUUGAUGUGUAGGAUAGGUGGGAGACUAUGAAGUAGUCACGCCAGUGAUUAUGGAGUCGUCCUUGAAAUACCACCCUUUAACGUUUGAUGUUCUAACGAAGAUUACGAAACGUGGUCUCGGACAGUGUCUGGUGGGUAGUUUGACUGGGGCGGUCUCCUCCCAAAGAGU